rnacentral:sRNA from 1 species
GAGUGAGCGGCAAAAGCUCAAAUUUGAAAUCUGGCGCCUUCGGUGUCCGAGUUGUAAUUUGAAGAUUGUAACCUUGGGGUUGGCUCUUGUCUAUGUUUCUUGGAACAGGACGUCACAGAGGGUGAGAAUCCCGUGCGAUGAGAUGCCCAAUUCUAUGUAAGGUGCUUUCGAAGAGUCGAGUUGUUUGGGAAUGCAGCUCUAAGUGGGUGGUAAAUUCCAUCUAAAGCUAAAUAUUGGCGAGAGACCGAUAGCGAACAAGUACAGUGAUGGAAAGAUGAAAAGAACUUUGAAAAGAGAGUGAAAAAGUACGUGAAAUUGUUGAAAGGGAAGGGUUUGAGAUCAGACUCGAUAUUUUGUGAGCCUUGCCUUCGUGGCGGGGUGACCCGCAGCUUAUCGGGCCAGCAUCGGUUUGGGCGGUAGGAUAAUGGCGUAGGAAUGUGACUUUACUUCGGUGAAGUGUUAUAGCCUGCGUUGAUGCUGCCUGCCUAGACCGAGGACUGCGAUUUUAUCAAGGAUGCUGGCAUAAUGAUCCCAAACCGCCCGUCUU